rfam:Felis catus isolate Cinnamon breed Abyssinian chromosome B3, whole genome shotgun sequence.
GCCUGGGUGGCUCGGUCGGUUGAACAUCUGACUUCAGCUCAGGUCACGACCUCACAGUCCGUGGGUUCAAGCCCCGCAUCAGGCU